GACAGAGGGUGCAAACGUUGUUCGGAAUUACUGGGCGUAAAGGGCGCGUAGGCGGCCACCGCAAGUCAGUUGUGAAAUCUCUGGGCUUAACCCAGAAAGGUCAACUGAUACUGCGGGGCUAGAGUGCAGAAGGGGCAACCGGAAUUCUCGGUGUAGCGGUGAAAUGCGUAGAUAUCGAGAGGAACACCUGCGGCGAAGGCGGGUUGCUGGGCUGACACUGACGCUGAGGCGCGAAAGCUAGGGGAGCGAACGGG
rnacentral:rRNA from 1 species